AACUAACACUGCUUGGGUUUUUUAUUUCAGACCACCUGCGGUUGAACCUUGUUUGACGGCUUCCAUUGCAUACUCAAUUUGAUGCAUCCUGCCCUGAGGGCUCCAAACAAUGACAUCAUUGUCAUACUGGCUGUGAAACAUGGUUCCAGUAGGGGUCUGGCUGCAGCCUCCCACAGAGGAGGGGAGAGUCCUCACAACUACCUGAGAAUUCUAAUCUUACACAUCAACCUCUGCCAAAGGGAGGAGCGGUUUGGCCAUCACAGUUAACAGCACUGUUUUUCACAUGGUGAUGAAUGGAUUCAAGUAAUCAGACUUUGAA
rnacentral:lncRNA from 1 species